GAGAAGAGAGAGAGCCGGCCGUCUGCCCUAAUCGCCGCCCUCGUUUCCAGAUUCGGCCAGGAAGGGCAUCAAAAGAGGGGCCGGAGAUGGAAACCAGGCCUCACCAGUUGGAGAAACCCUAAUCCGACGGAGAAGGAAGAAGAAUCCACCCCCAUUUACUUCUACUGCCGCUGCUGCUACCACUCAUCACCGCGAACCGGCGCAGUCGAUGAUUGCGUUGCGGAGGACGGCGGUGGCGAUGGCGACGGCGAGGAGCCCGAAAGGGGAAGAGGUUUCCCAUGGUUUUCCGCCAUUAAUGGCCGCCUGCUCCGCCGGCGAAGAACCGCCAUCAAAUCCCUAGAGAGAGAAAGAGAGGUUCGCCUUUCCGUUUUGUCCAUUCCGGGAAGUAUCUCAGUUCAGAUCCGGGCGAUCUUCUUCUUCUCCUCCUCCUCCCUUCUUCGCCGCCUGAGCUCUUUCUUCUUCCGGCGCCGCCCGUAUCUCAGAUCUCUUUCCCUCUCUACAGCAGUCAAAAAGAUGUUCAGGGAGGAGCGAUCAGAGACUGCCAGUCGCCGCCGCCAUGGCCCGCUAACCCUCACAGAGGAAAUCAUUCCAACCAUCAAUGGUAUGAUUCAAGACCCAGC
rnacentral:lncRNA from 1 species